rnacentral:snRNA from 1 species
GUCCAGAUUCGGCAGCACAUAUACUAAAAUUGGAACGAUACAGAGAAGAUUAGCAUGGUUUCACAUAUCACACUAAGGCAGAAGUUCCCAGAUGUUUU